CUACGGGGUGCUGCAGUGGGGAAUAUUGCACAAUGGGGGAAACCCUGAUGCAGCAACGCCGCGUGGAGGAUGACGCAUUUCGGUGUGUAAACUCCUUUUAUAUAGGAAGAUAAUGACGGUACUAUAUGAAUAAGCACCGGCUAACUCCGUGCCAGCAGCCGCGGUAAUACGGAGGGUGCAAGCGUUACUCGGAAUCACUGGGCGUAAAGCGCGCGCAGGCGGCCUUUUAAGUUGGAUGUGAAAGCCUAUGGCUUAACCAUAGAACUGCAUCCAAAACUAUCAGGCUAGAGUCUGGGAGGGGAAGAUGGAAUUAGCUGUGUAGGGGUAAAAUCCGUAGAGAUAACUAGGAAUACCAAAAGCGAAGGCGAUCUUCUGGAACAGUACUGACGCUGAGGCGCGAAAGCGUGGGGAGCAAACAGGAUUAGAUACCCCUGUAGUC
rnacentral:rRNA from 1 species